CCAGGCUGGCCCCGAGACCAGCACAGUUAACCUGGCGGAGAGAAAGAAGACAGAAGAAGGAUGAAGCGUGGAAUAGAGCAGACAGAGACGAAGAGGUGAAACCAACGCCAAGGAAGAGUUGGUAACAAUAAAGAGGUACAGAGGUGACAGAUGAAGACGAGGAUGAAUUAAGAAGGAGAGUGAAAGAUGCCAGAGGAGAAGGAAAGAAAGUGAUUGUGGGAGGUAAAGAGAAACAGAGGGAGAGUAAACUAGGUUUGACUGUGUCUGUUGGAUUGGACUUGAAGACCUCCUUUUUCAACUGUGUGAUGAAUUCAAACCUGCAAUAACACACGCCAAAUUCACACCAGGCAGCAGCGAGGUGCAGCUCGCCACAAUGAUUAAAUUUUUCUGCAGCUGGGAGGCGUGUUUAUGUGUUUCAGGCGGGAAGAAGUUCUUUGUCACAUUGGUCAACAUGUCACACGAGUCACUGGAUAAAGGUUAAUG